UACAGAGGUGGCAAGCGUUGUUCGGAAUUACUGGGCGUAAAGCGCGUGUAGGCGGUUAUCCAAGUCGGGGGUGAAAGCCUUGAGCUCAACUCAAGAAAUGCACUCGGUACUGGGUGACUAGAGGACCGGAGAGGAUAGUGGAAUUCCCAGUGUAGUGGUGAAAUACGUAGAGAUUGGGAAGAACACCUAUGGCGAAGGCAGCUCGCUGGGACGUUACUGACGCUGAGACGCGAAAGCGUGGGGAGCAAACAGG
rnacentral:rRNA from 1 species